UUAUGACCUGGGAGCUGGGCCCAUUUUAUGACCAAGGAGAUGGGGAGUUGGAAUGGUGGUACUAAGAGGCAUAGGAAGUUGAGUGUGAAUACCAUUGGUGAUGGGUCCAGGAGAACUAGACUAUGGUUCUUGAAUAUCUGUCCACAAAGAAUAUACUAACUUUUGUCAACUUCUCAGAACUCCCAACUGGAGUCGGUGAGACCUAGGAUUUUCUGCACUUCCACACAUGCCUGUUCCAAGUGUGGCUGUCAGCCAGUCAACAAGUUUGUACUAUGGCCCAUUCUCUGAUCACCAGGAUUACAGGAACUCACACACUCCUCAUACUUGGCCUGUAGUCCUACUUCUUGUUAGAAGUCUCCAAGUCUGGCCAGUCACAUGACCAAGUGUUGAUUUUUCUGGAGGAAAAAUUUUAUGGAAAUGAUAUAGGGGAAAGGUGGGAGGAGAUGAAAGAACAGGCAAGAGCUGUCAGGGUUAAAUCCAGGCCCGGGCAUGAGAAUGGAAGUGAUCAGGGAGACUCGGUCCUUGUUCCAAGUCUCCAAAGAAGACCAAAGUGGGUCCCUUGAGCAAUGAAGAAUCUGAGAUAAAUUCUCUUCAAGUAUCAUGUACAAAAUCUGUGAGCCAGAGAUUUUGACUUGAGCAAGCCAUGGAAAUGCAUGGAGCAAGGGUGACACUCUGUGGGGAGACAGAAGAAUUUCAACUAUUUAAUGUCCAUUUUGUUGUUUUUACCCUUUCUUAUCCAAUAGAUGGAAUGCACAUGAAAUGACCAUAUUAAGCCUCUCUCUAUUUACAUCCCAGGCUCACUGGGAUGUGAUCUACUGCAGUUACAUUUUCUUGUAACGGUUUCUGGAUUAGACCCUAGGGAAAGUGAGUAAGGAGCCAGUUUCUGUUUAACAUUCUAGUUUUACUCAUUUUAGGAAGGCUGUGAGUGAGGCUUGUCUCCUUUAAAGUUUCUUCUCCAAUGGAAACCAAGAACAGACAAAAUUUAGAGCUCAGCUGUGGUCUCUUCUCAUCUUCUGCUCUUUUGCUUUGACCACAGUUUUUCUACUCUUCCCAUCAACACUAGAGCAAUGGCUGUGCAAAUAGGAAUAGGAAAUACUACCACAAUGAUAGAAAUAUUAUCCACACUAUCACGUAGGGAAGAACAAUAUCCUGAAAGAGAAUAAAACACGAAUAAGGUGAUGUACCCACAUUAAUCUGUGGGUUUGUGGAAUGAGGGUUGCAAAGUUAUUGGGAAAAGGAAAGAGCAGAGUUCACCCAUUCAAAAAAAACCUUUUGUCUACUAAUCUCUAGUGUAAAGAAAAUGUAGUUCAGAUACCAUUCAUUGUCUUGGGUCAUGCUUAGUGCCCCCAAGAAGACAAACAUAUUUAUUCUUGGGAUUCUGAUAGGCUUCAAUAUGCAAAGGACAAUGGAAAAGUUUAGACACUCUAUUUUCAAAAUUUUAUAAACUUGUUUUAUUGGGGAAAAUGUCCAAAUUGCUAGACACAUUCUAAGUUCUGCCUUGGAGAAUCCUACUUUGUCUGAGAUUGAGGCAGAGGAAUUGUUAUCCUGGGCAUUACUCAGCUCAGGAACAUGGAGCCUGUGGUUCAUGCCAGUGUGUGUCUUCAUGCAGUCUCUCCACAAGAGCAACAGUAAGAACAUUUCUGUUUUAAAUUUCAUUUUAAAAUAUUUUAUUAUCUGCAAUUCACCACUGCUCUGGGAAAGCAAAAGGAAAGUUCCUGUUGUGUGUGAAGAGCCUCUUAGGCUAUAAGGCUUCCCAGCCAUAGUCAGCUAUAGCUAUUCAGAGACAGCAGGUUCUUCCAGUCUUUGUUCCUGGGACCUGAUGUUUUGAGCAACUCAGGUCACUGAUAAAGUGGAAGGACUAAGACACUGUGGUCACAGAUCCCAGCAACAUCAACUCACACUCAAUCCAUGUGGUGGUCCACAUUCUGCUACUCUUAUCCACCCAUGUGGUCAUUGAGAGCCUUUCUCAGAGACUCUUCUGUGUGUUUGAUUGUGCCCAGGUGGCCCAGGGCUAGCUGGCUCUAACAACUAGCAUGACAGCCUCCAAUCAGAAAGGCAGGUAAGGGGACAGGGUGAGGAGAAUGGGCAGAUACUGACAGAAAUUAAAGUAAAGGGAUUGUGAAAGUAAAGAGCUCUUCCUGAUUCUCAUCUUCUCUUUUUUCUAUUACAAGGCAUUGAACUUGGCACUUCCUGUAUUCUUUGUGAUCACUAUUGAGUGCAUUAGUUAACACCCAAGGGGAUGGCUUGAUUGGGAAUGUAGUGAAAGGAGCUGAUCUACUGUAUUGUAAUGUAAAACAGCUACAGCCAGUUAUUUUGUAAGAUUAUAAGUUGUUCAUUAAAAAAUCAGCACAC
rnacentral:lncRNA from 1 species